GAUAACCGCUGAAAGCAUCUAAGCGGGAAACUUGCCUUAAGAUGAGAUUUCCCGGAGCCUUGAGCUCCUUGAAGGGUCGUUCGAGACCAGGACGUUGAUAGGUCAGGUGUGGAAGUGCAGUAAUGCAUUAAGCUAACUGAUACUAAUUGCCCGUAAGGCUUGUCCCUAUAACCUUGACGGUUAU
rnacentral:rRNA from 1 species